rnacentral:miRNA from 1 species
AGCGUGAUGACGUGACACUCCGUC